GGGACAGAGGCGGAAGCCACCCCUGGAAACGAACAGGUCCACUGGGUCGAGCCUGCAGCCACCACGACCCAAAGGAUCCAAGCAAGAACAUUUUCUUUGAAAGAGGAGAGAAGGCACACCUGACCUUUUGAAUUAGGCUGCGGACCCUGCUAAUCAAGGAAAUGACUUGAGGAGGUAGAUAGGGAUAGUCAGCCCCCAGAUAGUUUAUUCUCUGGUUUGGUGAGCCCCCAUAAAAUGUUGGGAGAAAAUCUUGGUGUCCCAAACACCAGGAGAUAAUUUUGGGGUAGGAUGGGGGGAGGGACUGCAGUGCCACAGCUCCCUUCUACAGUUUACUUGCUAUGUUUGAUUCUCAACAAAUGAUAUUGCCCCUAUUCUAUAAACGUGUAGAGCCCCAGGGAACAAAACACCUUGUCAGGAAAUGGUAGGUCCGAGCUUGAUCAGAAGUCUUCCCUAAUCCCCUCUACCUUUUCUAAUUCACUGACUCAUCAGGGAGCAUCUUAAAGACCAUAGGGUCUGUGUGAACCUCCUCCUAACUCUUGGGGCAGAAGGACUGAAAGAGAUGAGAUUUGGAGAGUCAGCAGGAUCUCCUCCUCCUCACCCCCUCACUCCCCAGUGUGUGCCCCCAGAAUCCUCAGAAACAGUUUGGACUACAAUAUCCAUGGAGUAGCACUGUUUAGAAAGCCUGAAUAACAGAGACUGCGCUUUCCUCAGGGCAGACAAGGCCCAAGGUGCUCUAACCAAGAUGGAGCAGAGGACAAAGGAGGUCUGAAAGUAAAGUCCUGUAUAACAGGAAAAAAAUUGGUUAAGAUGACUCCAGUAGACUGCUUCUCUGUGACCUUCCCGAAGGUGUUUGUGACCUGGUGACCUCUAGGCAUCUGUGACCUGCCAACCUCUAGGCAUCUUUCAGGAUCCAACUGUAAAGUCUGCAGCCAAACUUCCUUGUCUCCAGUCCAGUCAAGGGCAGAGCACCAGGGGUGUCCCUUUGAAAGCAUCCCCUACAGAGGUCAGUGAUUAGGCAGCUCUGUGUGUAAAUGAAGGGUCCCAAGGCUUUUGGCCCUCCAGUUAUCUUUUGUGAAUUUGACGUCACUGUCUUGUACUUCACCUGCAUGCUAUAAAAGUGGUAUCUUGUUGGGCCCUAGGUGUCAGUUCACCUUAGGGCUUGUGGGUCCCUCAGGCUAUCUCCUUAUUACUCUCCUGCCCCAUCUGCUCCCUGUGAGCAUCCAACCCCUGCUACUGGGCCCAUACUGCCACCCAGUGGUACUCCUUAAGAGCCCACUGGCCAAAUCUCCAGUUUCCACCACUCACCCACGAGUUCACCAUACUGCAGGAUUCCUCUGACCUUCGCCACCCAGAACAAUCACAGGACAAGUCACAAGAAUACACAACAGUGCCUUCCUCAACACGUGGCUGACUCGGUGUUUGUCUGCUCUCCAUGAGCAGCCUUCCUCUCCCCUUCAAGGACAGUCCACGUGUGAGUUGACUGCCCCCUCCCCUUACUCAGGCACUUGGGCUUGGUCACUGUAAGCUAUUUCAAGGGCCUAUCUCUGUCCCCUUGGACACACAGCCAUUCUGAAUACUGAACAUUCCCAUCAGUGUAAAAAGGGAUGUGGCAGGUGACUGCAGAAACAUGAGCAGUGGGAAGAAAGCACGUAUUCUGUCUGUCCUAGG
ensembl:lncRNA